UACGUAGGGUGCAAGCGUUGUCCGGAAUUAUUGGGCGUAAAGAGCUCGUAGGCGGUUUGUCGCGUCUGCUGUGAAAACUCGGGGCUUAACUCCGGGCCUGCAGUGGGUACGGGCAGACUAGAGUGCGGUAGGGGAGACUGGAAUUCCUGGUGUAGCGGUGAAAUGCGCAGAUAUCGGGAGGAACACCAGUAGCGAAGGCGGCACUCUGGGCCGUGACUGACGCUGAGGAGCGAAAGCGUGGGUAGCAAACAGG
rnacentral:rRNA from 1 species